UCGCUGUAUGCAUUCCGGCAGGCGACUGCCGGCCAGCGCUCGCGUGCCCGAGUCAACGAGCUGCGAGUACUCUUACCUGAUCCAGCUUCCUUCUCCAUUCACACAGGUGUCCUUUCGAAGCGGCUGCUUCUGCUCGAUCCAUCGCCGCAGACGGCGACCUCACGCGUGCCGCAGGACGUGGGCGACAGCGGGCUCACAGGCAUCGCCUCCUGGCCCCGCAGCACAGCGCCUUCCGGUCAGGCGUUCGUUGAGCACCGCGUUGGCUUCAUCGCUCGCCACAGCUGCUCUCUGCCGGCACACAUAGCCGAGAAGCGCAUCGCGUACUUACUCUAUCCGCAGCCUCUCAAGAAGCGCAUGACCAAUGCGUAGAGUGCAGCCUAUCUGUAUUACCGAUGGGUCGAUGUGGUGGCGCCGCUGGAGCAGUACAUGACGGUGUCCGCCGUCGCGGCGAAGCUGUGUGAGGUCGAAGACGCUUGGGGCAUGCUGAACGUGAAAGCUCUCCACUCGUCUCUCGCCACCGUGUUCGCACGUCGCUUCGUCGAGGAGACGCUCGUCGCGAGCGGGUGGCGGCGUCGCCGACGAACCUCUUCCGUGAACUGCCGCUCACGGCGCGCUACACAGGUUUCCAGCCCUGCCCGGUGGGGGAAGCCCACGGAGGCGUGCGCUACAGCUUCCGCACGACUAAUGCGG